UUGGGCCGGCCCUGUUGACAAAUCACACAUUUUUAAUCAACUAUCUGUACAAACCGGUUAGUACCAAGAACUCAGGUGUUGAUGGUGUUUGUUCUUUAUAAAAGAGGUUUCUCUGUUGUUCUCUCAGGCUGUGGCAGAGAUUGGGGACUCGAGUUUGCGACUCGGACUCGAGACGCACUUAAGUCGCACACACAGAGACUUCAGACUUGACUUGGACUCGUGUUUUGGGACUCGUGAACAAUCAUUAUGUUUUCUUUUUUGGCGUAUUAAUACUGAGGAAACUCUGAAACGUCUGACGAGCUUAAUGUGAUUCCUUCCUUUGUUUCAUGGUAACCAUAUUACACAUUGGGUGCGCGCCUCGCAGCCUCACGCACUAGUACCUCGGAUGACGACUAUGGCGACCGGCGGCACGCCUGCAGCUGCUGCUGUACCAUUUGUGAUUACAUUUGGUUAUAAAAACUUCAAACAGGACGGCAUCAACAAAGGAGCACUGACUGCAAAGUCUGCAGUACCCCAAUCAAGGAUGCUGGAUCCACCACAUCACAUUUUAUCAGGCACCUGAAAACUCACCCGGAGAGGUUUUCUGAAUUCAACAGAGCGAAAAAAGUGGCCAGUGGCAGUGCAGAGGGACAGAGCAGCCUUGACUCUUUCUUAACAAAACCAGGUACAGCAGUGAGC